rnacentral:rRNA from 1 species
AUGAAGUACAGCAAGGAGGCCAAGCCCGAGAGGGCGGGCGGCGGCGGCGGCGGCGCCAGGGCCGUGCCGGUGGCGCUCAUGCUCCUCCUCCUCUGCGGCUUCUCCUUCUACCUCGGCGGCAUGUACAGCACCGGCCGCACCUUCACCUUCUCCUCCACCACCACCAGCAUCAUCCCCAUCGUCUCCACGGCGAAGCAGGAGGGCUCCGCGAUCGCGCUCGCCAUUGCCAGGAACGGCAACGGCGACGACGAGGUCGAGUUUUCAGAGUGCCCCGCUGAUUACCAGGACUACACCCCCUGCACCGACCCCAAGCGCUGGAGGAGGUACGGGAACUACCGGCUCAGCUUCAUGGAGCGGCACUGCCCGCCGCCGCCGGAGCGCGCCGUCUGCCUGGUGCCCCCGCCGCGGGGCUACAAGCCGCCCAUCCGCUGGCCCAAGAGCAAGGACCAGUGCUGGUACCGCAACGUGCCCUACGACUGGAUCAACAGCCAGAAGUCCAACCAGCACUGGCUCCGCAAGGACGGCGACCGCUUCACCUUCCCCGGCGGCGGCACCAUGUUCCCCAACGGCGUCGGCGCGUACGUCGACCUCAUGGCCGACCUGAUCCCCGGCAUGAAGGACGGCAGCGUGCGCACCGCGCUCGACACGGGCUGCGGCGUCGCCAGCUGGGGCGGCGACCUGCUGGCCCGCAACAUCCUGACCGUGUCGCUGGCGCCCAGGGACAACCACGAGGCCCAGGUGCAGUUCGCGCUGGAGCGCGGCAUCCCGGCCAUCCUCGGCAUCAUCUCCACGCAGCGCCUGCCCAUCCCCUCGGCCUCCAUGGACAUGGCGCACUGCUCCAGGUGCCUCAUCCCGUGGACGGAGUUCGGCGGGCUCUACCUGAUGGAGAUCCAGCGGGUGCUCCGGCCCGGCGGCUUCUGGGUGCUCUCGGGCCCGCCCAUCAACUACGAGAACCGGUGGCACGGCUGGAACACCACGGUGGAGGCGCAGAAAGCCGACUUCGACCGGCUCAAGAAGAUGCUCGCCAGCAUGUGCUUCCGGCUGUACAACAAGAAGGGCGACAUCGCGGUGUGGCAGAAGUCCCUCGACGCCGGCUGCUACGACAAGCUGACGCCGGUGACCACCCCGGCCAAGUGCGACGACAGCGUCGACGCCGACGCCGCGUGGUACGUGCCCAUGCGCUCCUGCGUGACCGCGCCCAGCCCCAAGUCCCGCGGCAAGGCGCUGCCCAAGUGGCCCCAGAGGCUGAGCGUCGCGCCGGAGCGCGUCUCCGUUGUCCCCGGCGGCAGCGGCAGCGCCAUGAAGCACGACGACGGCAAGUGGAAGGCGGCCACGAAGCACUACAAGGCGCUGCUGCCCGCGCUGGGGAGCGACAAGGUGCGGAACGUCAUGGACAUGAGCGCCGUCUACGGAGGGUUCGCGGCGAGCCUCGUCAAGGACCCCGUGUGGGUCAUGAACGUCGUCUCCUCCUACGGGCCCAACUCCCUCGGCGUCGUCUACGACAGAGGACUCAUCGGCACCAACCACGACUGGUGCGAGGCCUUCUCCACGUACCCACGGACGUACGAUCUGCUGCACGCCGACGGCCUGUUCACCGCAGAAUCACACAGGUAUGUAAUGUGCUGCAGAAUCUUGCCGCCCACAUAUUCAGCCAAGGAAGAUCUCAAGUUGCUAACCGAUUGUCCAUGGCAUUGCAGAUGCGAGAUGAAAUUUGUGCUUGUUGAGAUGGACCGCAUCCUUCGUCCGACCGGCUACGCCAUCAUCCGGGACAACCCCUACUUCCUCGACUCCGUGGCCUCCAUCGCCAAGGGGAUGAGAUGGACCUGCGACAGGCACGACACCGAGAACAAGGAGAAUGAGAAGGAGAAGCUCCUCAUCUGCCACAAGCAGCUCUGGUCGGCAAAGAAGGCAUAG